rnacentral:snRNA from 1 species
AUAUAUUUUAUAAAAAAAAAAAAAAAAAAAAAAAAAAAAAAAAUCUGUUCUUAUCAGUUUAAUAUCUGAUACGUCCCCCAUCGGGGGGACUACAUAUUAAAUGGAUUUUUCGAACAGGGAGUCGGAAAUGGGGCUUGCUCCGUCCGCUCCACGCAUCGACCGGUAUUGCAGUACCUCCGGGAACGGUGCAACACUU